rnacentral:lncRNA from 1 species
UUCCCCUUGCGUAACCGACUCCCGUACCUUGCAAUCUCUGGUCGUAAGACCAUUCCUUUCCAUUUUUCAGGUUUACUUUGAGCGUUUCCUUUCUCUCCUUUGGGAUAAAUAACGCACGGUGGCGGCUCUGUGUUUUUUUUCGCCGGUUGUUUUUCACGUUGCGACAGCUGGCGACUCUGCUGGGGAUUAAAGAAGUUGAC